GGAAGAGCUCAAAUUUGAAAUCUGGCGUGCUCAGUGCGUCCGAGUUGUAAUCUAUAGAGUCGUUUUCCGUGCCGGACUGUGUCCAAGUCCCUUGGAACAGGGUAUCAAAGAGGGUGAUAAUCCCGUACUUGACACAAUGACCGGUGCUCUGUGAUACGUCUUCUACGAGUCGAGUUGUUUGGGAAUGCAGCUCAAAAUGGGUGGUGAGUUCCAUCUAAAGCUAAAUAUUGGCGAGAGACCGAUAGCGAACAAGUACCGUGAGGGAAAGAUGAAAAGCACUUUGGAAAGAGAGUUAAACAGUACGUGAAAUUGUUAAAAGGGAAACGAUUGAAGUCAGUCGUGACUGAGAGGCUCAGCCGGUUCUGCCGGUGUAUUCCCCUCAGUCGGGUCAACAUCAGUUUUGUUCGGUGGAUAAGGGCAGUUGGAAGGUGGCACCCUCGGGUGUGUUAUAGCCAGCUGUCGCAUACAUCGGAUGAGACUGAGGAAUGCAGCUCGCCUUUAUGGCCGGGGUUCGCCCACGUUCGAGCUUAGGAUGUUGACAUAAUGGCUUUAA
rnacentral:rRNA from 1 species